GAAUAGAUUUUAUAUUGAAUCGUUCAAUUUAAAUCUUAUUUUUCAGAUAUUACAUGUGAUGUAUCAAACCUGAAAGCAUGCUAAUUAGAUCAGAUUUUAAUAUAUGAGAUGUAUGCAAAGCAUGUAUAAGUUAGAUCUGAAAUUAUAUAUGUGAUAUGUAACUUAGAUCUAACUAGUUUUGUAGUUAAAUCAAUAUUUUUGAUUAAGGUGUUCCUCAUGGCCGUCCGGUCAUAAGAACAAAGUAGGGUUUAAGACCCUCUCCUCCCAUUCAAUGGGGU
rnacentral:lncRNA from 1 species